AUUCCAUUUCAUUUUUUCAAGUAUGUUUGUAAUUUUUGUAAUAAUCCUUUCAUGGUUGUGAACAUAAAUACCCUUGCCUUUUUUGGUUUCUGGUCAGGUAUUUUAGGGAACUGCCCAUUUAUAUGCUUAAUUGUAUUUAUAUACAAAAUCCUUUUUGGAGGAGUUUUGAAAUCCUACUUGGAAAGGCCUUAUAGGCAAGAUGAUUUGUAGGCUGCUGAUUGUUACUUUCGAUUUUAUUACAGCAUUUUUUGCUGUGACAAAUUAGAUCAGGCAUGGUAACUCAUGCCUGUAAUCCCAGCUACUUGGGAGGCAGAGAGAUUGGGAGUUCCAUUUGUGGUUUGAAACCAUGCUAGGCCAAAAGUUUGUGAGAGCCUGUCUCAACAAGCAAGAUGGGCAUAGCGGUGCAUAUCUGUAAUUCUAGCUUCACUAGAGGCAUAGUUGAGAGGAUCUGAGGUCUGAUGCUGACCUGAACAUACAAGACCCUAUUUAAAAAUUACAUAAGAACAGAAAGGGAUGGGAGUAUAACUCAAGUGGUAAAAGAGCUUGCCUAGUAAGUUCAAACCCUAGUACUACCCAAACAAAACACCAGAAGUCCUAUAAAAUCCUAAAUUACAGAGCCAGGAAUAAGAUUGUAUUGCGUUUCAAGGCCAGUCCAAACAAAAGU